rnacentral:lncRNA from 1 species
CACUCUUGCCAGUAAGUUACAUCGAAGCAGCUAUAUGGUAGAAUUGAUUAUGUAACACAAAACCCAUGGUAUCCAUUGCUCCUUAGAGUAGAAUUUAAAUCUUUACCUGGGCUCACAAGGUCCUGCCUCAAGUCCAGUCUCAGUUCAUCCUUUGGACUUCUUCUGGAAGAUUCCUCCGUAUCAGCCUGCCUUCUGGUCUUGACAUUUCCCUUUCUUACCUCGGGGCUUGUGCACCUGCCGUUGCCUCUCCUGGAAAGCUCUUCCCCAGGGCUUCACGUAACUGCCUUUGAAUCAUGCAGGAACGAUCUGCGUAGGGUGAUUUUUCACACCACUGUAUCCCUAGUACCUAGACCGUCCACAUGGAACAGAUGUGAUCACCAAGUUUUAGAAGAAACUUGCAAGCCCAUCGUCCAACACUUAACAUCUUUAUAGAUGGGGAAAUCCAAAGACGACAACUCAGCCCUGUCCCUCGUUGCAUGGUGUUUGGUGGAUGACUUGGCAUGAAGCAUCAUAUCUACAAGAAAAACAAGUCAAAGGCUGAUGCCUCUGAUGGGGAAAUCACCACUCUCUCAGUGGGCAGCCACAGGAAAUGGGUACCUGUCUAUACUGGGGCCACAGGAUUAUGGGGCAAUAUCCCACAUGCCAGAGCAUAACAUAGAGGCUCAUUAAGGACAGAUAUUUGGGAGUGUAUAUUUAUCAAAAAUUCAGAUGGGUGAAUGGCCAUCACAAAUGGGAGAGAGAACUGUUAGCCAACGGGUGACUCAGGGGCUGAGUGUGCACCCCUGUUAUGAAAACUGAUUGUUAAAAAAAAAAAAAAAGUUGUUUGCACUCAUCACAGAUAUCAACAUUUGAAGGCACUGGCUGAUUCCAACUUAUGGCAUAAAUGACUAUUCAAUCGCAAUUGGAAUAGCUUAGACAAAUUAUCUGUGAUUAAAGCAGGCCAAUUUCUCAAAAUAAAAGUCCAACCUGGAGCACAAAUGAGCCUAAGCGCUUGGUCCUUGGAAUAGUGACUUUUCUCUCUUGCAAAGCUUGGUCUCUAACCAAAUAAGUAUUUACCUAUACAUUUAGAGUUCAGAUCAAUAGGAGGAAGAUGAAAUAGCCAAGACUGCUUUUGUUGCACAUGACAAUGACAUAACUCAUCUUGUUUAAGAAUGAAAGGAGGCCGGGUGCGGUGGCUCACGCCUGCAAUCUAAACACUUUGGGAGGCUGAGGCAGGCGGAUCAUGAGGUCAGGAGAUCGAGACCUUCCUGGCUAACAUGGUGAAACCCCAUCUCUACUAAAAAUACAAAAAAUUAGCCCGGCGAGGUGGCAGACGCCUGUAGUCCCAGCUACUCGGGAGGCUGAGGCAGGAGAAUGGCGUGAACCUGAGAGGCGGAGCUUGCAGUGAGCCGAGAUCAUGCCACUGCACUCCAGCCUGGGCAACAGAGCGAGACUCCAACUCAAAAAAAAAAAAAAAAGAAUGAAAGGGAACUUAGCACUUGUAACUGAAGCAUCCAAGUUUACUGCUGACUUCAGGCAUGCUGGAUCCAGGCGGCGAGAAGCGUUAUCAAGAAUGUGUCAUUCUCUAUUUCUUGGCUCUGCUUUCCUCUAUAUUGCCAUUACUUUCAAGUAGGCUGUCUCCAUGUGAAUGGCAAAGCAAUCAUCUGUAGCUUCAGGCCUAGAUGGUCCCCACAACUGGUGGCUCCAAAAGAAACCAAAAGAAACACACACACACACACACACACACACAUACACACACACACACACACACACACACACACCCCUUUUUCCCAAUAGCUCUCACGAAAGUCCCAGGCAAGAAUCUCUCUGGCUAUACUUGGAACACAUACCCAACCCAGAACCCAUUCUCCUUGUUGGCCAUUUUGUGCAUAUCCAGGUGAUCACCAUGACCAGCCAUGCUGCCAUAAGGAUUCUUUUCAAGUCUCUUUAGGCAUCCACAUAAGGGGUACUGUGGAGUAUAGAGAUGACUAUUUCUUUGAAUACUGUGAUAGAUGCAAUAGUAGACUUGCAUUCAAGGUACCAUAGUACAGUAUAAGAAAAAAUAUAUAUGCCUUUGUAAACUGUGCUUACUCGCUCAGGAGCAGGGGGACGCCCCCUUCUUAAGGGAAGAGCCGGCAUCACACGCCCUCCCAGCUCAAGCUUCCCCUGCGACCUGCACGUGUGUGAAUUGGCAGGCCCCACUAAUAUUGGUAUUUCCCUCUCAUUCCUACUAUUACCCCUGCCAAGCUUGGGAUGGCAGAGUUGGAGUCAUAUCCAUUCUAGGAGCCUAAAGAUGUGACUCCUCUGCAUUGAUGAGAGACACGGAAGAGGGAAAAGCAAGGAAAGACUUUAGUGAGCUCUGAAGUCCCACCUGCCACUCCACUAAAUGCCAGAAUCAUCUGGCCUCACUUAGUGGGUGGAGCAAAUUCCUGCCCCCCAGGGCCUCCCUCCUGAACCUGCAAGGUUGGUGGGAGAGGGAGACCCUCCCCAAAAGAGGAAGCCUGUUGUGUUGAGAGUGAUUUCAGAGACCUCAGCCAGGAAAGGUAAAUCAAAAUAACCCUUACACUCCGCCUCCUUCUUCCUUUAGAGGGGAAUGUUUCCUGGCACGGGUGCUGCAGCUUAAUAAAUUGCAUGCAGUAGAUUUCAGGCCUUGAGAAAAUCUUAACACUAGCUAAUAUGACCAGCACUAACAAAAUUUCUUGGAGCUUAUAAUAACAAAAAAAGCUCAUUGACGGAUUCCCACUUUUAUUCCUGCCCCCCUUUUCCACUUAGCCUUAAAUUUUUUUUAAUAAGAAAUUUUUAUUAACAAAAACAACAACAAAAAAAAAACAGAGUGAAGCACUUCACAAGAUCUUGCCCAGUUUAUUUUUUUAAUCUGUAAUAAUGAGCAUAACAGUUCAGCAAUGGAAUACUCACUCCAACAAAAUCUCCAGAUCUUUACAUCCUGAGUCUGCGAGGGCUGGACACAUGCCCUUGCUAAUUAUCAACCUUCUGAAACAGCUCAAGACAUGGGAUUAAAAACUGCUGUGGAAUUUGAACUCACGGACAUUCAUCUGAGUCAGCUACUCUGAACUCGCAUCUACUAUAAGGACCUGAGCAUUUCCUUCUCCCGUUUCCUCAGGACCUGCUCGGGGGUGUUCAGGGGAAGGUUGUCACAAACAUACUUGCAAUAAAAAUAAUCAAACAAAUGGAGAGCAUGUCUAUUUCCGGAAUUAGAUUCUUUUGAUAGUGAAGGAAUCAAAUGGGAUAAGGGGCAGGGAGAAGUCAGGUAAGUCCAAUAUUACUAUGUCCACAUGCUUAAAUUUCACUCCUCGGGGGCUUAUUGUCCCUAACAAUGGCCCUUUUAGCUAUGGAAUACGGGGAAUGACUAACCUUUUUCUAGCCUGUCAGUGAGAACUACCACUAUAUAUUGGUAAGUAUUUCCGUACAAAAUUCACUUGGAAAGGAUAUUGUUUCAAGCCUGGACAAAGCUCAUAUUGUCAUGUUCCAGUUCCAGUUAUUUUAGGCAAGGAAGGGGAAUUUCCACUGCUCCCUACAAUCAGUUUUGAGCACUUAGCUCUGAGUAAUAACUUCCUUGUAAUCUGUCAGAGCC